UUAUUAUUAUUCAGUCAGUAGAGCAUGAGACUCUUAAUCUCAGGGCCAUGGGUUUGAGCCCCACAAUAAGCAAAA